UCUUGGAAAUUUUCCUCGCGUCUGUGCAUUGUGUUUGCUGCACUCGGAGCUUUUUGAUCGCUCUUUAUCCACUCUCGCGCAGCGGUUGAGACGCAUUAUAUGACGCGCGAACUCGAAAAGCUUUUUUGAUCUAUUGUUUUUAUGAUAAUUUGCUAAUAAUGUGCUUUAUCUGUGCAUAUAAUAUCUGGCUUAAUAUGGUGUACUUAGGCAAAAUAUAUAAGUAUGUAGGUAGGUAUCCAAUAACCUACAUUCUUUGAUAUGGAGAAGAUCGAUUCAUGAAUUUAGUUUAAAUGUGCCCACCCGAAUAAAAACACUGGAAAACAUAGAGUAAAAGGGAAUACAGUCGCAGCAAAAGAAGCCUUCGCCUUACCUGCAAUCUAGUGCAAUUUAAGUAAUCGCAUUUCAUUACAGAAGCAGAGAGGCCUUCAUAGUACAUUGGAUUAAUCCGCCUUUUCAUGAUCAUGACUGUGUUUUCGACUGCUACAAAAUGCCGGAUUGAACCCAAAUAAAUAUUGUUUAGAGGAAAGUAA